rnacentral:rRNA from 1 species
UACGAAGGGUGCAAGCUUUAAUCGGAAUUACUGGGCGUAAAGGGUGCGUAGGCGGUUGUUUAAGUCUGUCGUGAAAUCCCCGGGCUCAACCUGGGAAUGGCGAUGGAUACUGGGCAGCUAGAGUGUGUCAGAGGAUGGUGGAAUUCCCGGUGUAGCGGUGAAAUGCGUAGAGAUCGGGAGGAACAUCAGUGGCGAAGGCGGCCAUCUGGGACAACACUGACGCUGAAGCACGAAAGCGUGGGGAGCAAACAGG